ensembl:lncRNA
UCUCACAAUUCUUUCUCCCUCCACCAGCACCAGAGCUGGCGUCCAAAGACGCAAUGACACUGCCACAGGCAUUGUGGAGAUUUGUAUGGGAUAGGCCCAUGGUUCUUUCUGCCUGCUCUUCUUAGCCCUGCGCCUGAGAAGUCUGACUGAGUCACAUGCCAGAAGUGGAAGCCGGGAUGGAGUGCCUUGCGAUGCCUGUGACGGGCUGGACUGAGCCCUUGAGGAAGGUCUGGAAUCUUUGCUGAAAGAUUCGUUGGCUUUGGGCAACUUCAGCACUGCAGCCACACGAUGGGCUUUUUCCGCUUCCUGUUCUUCCUCACGGAAGCUCACGUGUUUGGUUCCUGGGGCUCGGCCCAGGUCUUCUUGGCUGUCUGUUUCUGCCUGGCCCUGCAGCUGGCAGGUCAGCGGCUGCUUUUGGUCUUCAGGCACUCCAGGGAUGGCUGGCAGCAGACUGAAAGGACAGAGCAGGAGGGGUCCGCCUGAGUGGAUGAUGGCUUUGGGGCCGCAUCCUGCAAGCCGGAGCCAGGACCCUUGGCUGCAACGCAGCCUUCCCCACAGACAGCUCAGCGGCUGCCCUGUGGCUCUCCCCCGUGGGAUCCAGAGAGGGGCCAGCCCUGUGAGCUGGGGGGCUCCUGGCGUCCCCAUCCCAGCACUAUUGGG